CCUACGGGUGGCAGCAGUGAGGAAUAUUGGUCAAUGGUCGGAAGACUGAACCAGCCAAGCAGCGUGCGGGAUGAAGGUCCAGCGUAUCGUAAACCUCUUUUGUCAGGGAACAAAGGCGGGGACGUGUCCCCGGAUGAGUGUACCUGAAGAAAAAGCAUCGGCUAACUCGGUGCCAGCAGCCGCGGUAAUAGGGAGGAUGCGAGCGUUUUCCGGGUUUAUGGGGUUUAAAGGGGGCGCAGGCGGUCUGUUAAGUCAGCGGUCAAAGCCCGGGGCUCACCCCCGGCCCGCCGUUGAAACUGGCAGUCUCGAGUUGGCGAGAAGUAUGCGGAAUGCGCGGUGUAGCGGUGAAAUGCAUAGAUAUCGCGCAGAACUCCGAUUGCGAAGGCAGGAGGCCGGCGCCACACUGACGCUGAGGCACGAAAGCGUGGGUAUCGAACAGGAUUAGAUACCCCAGUAGUC
rnacentral:rRNA from 1 species